rnacentral:rRNA from 1 species
GAUGAACGCUGGCGGCGUGCUUAACACAUGCAAGUCGAACGGUGAAGCGCCUUCCUUUUUGGUGGGUGUGGAUGAGUGGCGAACGGGUGAGUAACACGUGAGUAACCUGCCCCCUUCUUCUGGAUAACCGCAUGAAAGUGUGGCUAAUACGGGAUAUUCUGGGUCUGUCGCAUGAUGGGUCUGGGAAAGAUAUUGUUUCGGUGGGGGAUGGGCUCGCGGCCUAUCAGCUUGUUGGUGGGGUGAUGGCCUACCAAGGCGGUGACGGGUAGCCGGCCUGAGAGGGUGGACGGUCCCACUGGGACGGAGACACGGCCCCGACUCCUACGGGCGGCAGCAGUGGGGAAUAUUGCACAAUGGGCGGAAGCCUGAUGCAGCGACGCCGCGUGAGGGAUGGAGGCCUUCGGGUUGUGAACCUCUUUCGCCAAUGAAGCAGGCCUGCCUCGUUUGUGGGUGGGUUGACGGUAGCUGGAUAAGAAGCGCCGGCUAACUACGUG